rfam:Callithrix jacchus chromosome 4, whole genome shotgun sequence
CCAAAGGCCCUUUUCAGGGCCGCCCACACCUUCCCGUAAAAGAGCU